CGGGAGGCAGCAGCAGGGAAUAUUGUGCAAUGAACGAAAGUUUGACACAGCGACACCGCGUGUGGGAUGACGGAUCUAGGUUUGUAAACCACUUUCAGGAGGGAAGAAAAUGACGGUACCUCCAUAAGAAGCCCCGGCCAACUACGUGCCAGCAGCCGCGGUAAUACGUAGGGGGCGAGCGUUGUCCGGAUUUAUUGGGCGUAAAGAGCUCGUAGGCGGUUCAACAAGUCGGUCGUGAAAGUUCAGGGCUCAACCCUGAAAUGUCGAUCGAUACUGUUGUGACUAGGAUACGGUAGAGGUGAGUGGAAUUCCGAGUGUAGCGGUGAAAUGCGUAGAUAUUCGGAGGAACACCAAUUGCGAAGGCAGCUCACUGGGCCGCUAUCGACGCUGAGGAGCGAAAGCUAGGGGAGCAAACAGGAUUAGAUACCCUGGUAGUCCUAGCUGUAAACGAUGGAUACUAGACGUAGGAACUGGAUUGACGGUCUCUGUGUCGCAGCUAACGCGUUAAGUAUCCCGCCUGGGGAGUACGGUCGCAAGACUAAAACUCAAAGGAAUUG
rnacentral:rRNA from 1 species